rnacentral:RNase_P_RNA from 1 species
CGAGCCGGCCGGGCGGCCGCGUCGAGCCCACCAGGCUCGCCGAGGAAAGUCCGGGCUCCACAGGGCAGGGUGGUGGGUAACGCCCACCCGGGGUGACCCGCGGGACAGUGCCACAGAAAGCAAACCGCCGCCGCGCUCCUAUCCGGAGCGGGCGGUAAGGGUGAAAGGGUGGUGUAAGAGACCACCAGCGCCCGGGGUGACCCGGGCGGCUCGGUAAACCCCACCUGGAGCAAGGCCAAGAGGGGAGCUUCGGCUCCCUGCGCAGGCGUUCGAGGGCGGCCCGCCCGAGCCUGCGGGUAGGCCGCUGGAGGCUGUCGGUAACGGCAGCCCGAGAGGGAUGGCCGCCGCCGCUACGUCGCGAGACGUUGCGGGCACAGAACCCGGCUUAUAGGCCGGCUCGUCCG